AGUUUCCUCUUCAUAAUCCUCUAUCUGUGGAAAGAAAUUGCUUUUGUUCUGAAGUAGAAGCCAAAAUAACUGUAUUAAAAAAGCACAGUGAAGCCAGUAACUGUGUUACAAGAGAAUUGCUUUCUUCAAGCCUCUAAGUGUUACAUUUUGAUAGGAUCCUGCCUGCAUACCUCUGCCAUUGGUUAUUACUGCAGGAUAAACUGCAGUGUGGGACUUGUCUGAAUUUGCUGCUCUCCUCAUUGAUGCAACCUGAGCUGAAAAUUCUCACAUGGAAUUUCUGCCACAAGCCCAAUAAGAAAUGUUUUGGCAAGAGGGAAGCAGCUGAAAAACUGAGUAGAAGAUGCUUCCAAUCACUGCCCCAGCUUCACUCCCGAAAUAAAACUGAAUUUUCUCCUUUCCUAGUCUUGGAUAAAGUUUGGGGAUGAGGGGUAGGAGCAGGAAUGGGGGAAAAUCCAGAUGGGAUUUAGCCUGGAAAGAGGACUGGGAAAAUCUCAAUGAGAUUUCAGCCAGAAACAGGAGCAGGAAAAACCCAGACAGGAAUUCUCUGGGAAACUGGAUUUCACCUGGAAUUGGGCUUGAAAGAAAACCUGACAGGAUUUCUCCUGGAAUUAGGACAGAAGGAAAACCAGACUGGAUUUCCCCUGGAACUGGGACUGAAGGAAAACUGGAUCUGGAUUUCUCCUGGGAAGUGGCUCAGGGAAAAACCUGGACUGGAUUUCACAGAAAAUCCAGAUUGGAGGGGCAGGAAAAACAUGGAGUGGAUUUCCCCUGGAAAGUGGUUUGGGGAAUAACCAUGACCAGAUUUCACCCUGAAUCCAGACUGGGGAAAAAACCCAGACUGCAUUUCACUCAGAAACCAGGGAUAUUUCCUUGGAGUAAAAUGAUUUUCCAGCAUUCCAAUGGUGGAAUAAAUCCAAAUAAUAAAUUAUAA